rnacentral:rRNA from 1 species
CGAGCGGCGAACGGGUGAGUAAUACAUCGGAACGUACCCAGUCGUGGGGGAUAGCCCGGCGAAAGCCGGAUUAAUACCGCAUACGCCCUGAGGGGGAAAGCGGGGGACCGGAAACGGCCUCGCGCGAUUGGAGCGGCCGAUGGCGGAUUAGCUAGUUGGUGGGGUAAAGGCCUACCAAGGCGACGAUCCGUAGCUGGUCUGAGAGGAUGAUCAGCCACACUGGAACUGAGACACGGUCCAGACUCCUACGGGAGGCAGCAGUGGGGAAUUUUGGACAAUGGGCGCAAGC